UCUCUCUCUCAUUUCCUGAAAAUUAAGUCAUAUAUAUAUAUAUAUUGAAGUUCAUAGAAACGUGAAAGACUUAAUUAAAAUGGUGACAUGCAAUAUUUCCAAGUAAUUUUGUAAAAGUAUACGGAUGAAAUACCAAUCCAUGUUAUAAUUAUGCAAAUUCAAAUUCUUGGAGAAGCACUGGAACUUUUGGUUUUUAUGCUUUUAAAUGAAGAGGUGUGACCAUUAACGUAAGCUCAUGAGCUAUUUAAGAU
rnacentral:lncRNA from 1 species